AUUGAACGCUGGCGGCAGGCCUAACACAUGCAAGUCGAGCGAGCGGCGGACGGGUGAGUAAUGUAUGGGGACUGCCCGAUAGAGGGGGAUAACUACUGGAAACGGUAGCUAAUACAGCAUACUAUCGGAUAACCCAUAGGGGCUUGGAUAGUCGGUGAGGUAAUGGCUCACCUAGGCGAGGAUCCCUAGCUGGUAUGAGAGGAUGAUCAGCGCCACUGGGACUGAGACACGGCCCAGACUCCUACGGAGGCAGCAGUGGGGAAUAUUGCACAAUGGGCGAAAGCCUGAUGCAGCCAUGCCGCGUGUAUGAAGAAGGCCCUAGGGUUGUAAAGUACUGUCAGUCGGGAGGCGUUACCGACAGAAGAAGCACCGGCUAACUCCGUGCCAGCAGCCGCGGUAAUUC
rnacentral:rRNA from 1 species